rnacentral:rRNA from 1 species
GACGAACGCUGGCGGCGUGCCUAAUACAUGCAAGUCGAGCGAACGGAUCAGAAGCUUGCUCCCCUGAUGUUAUCGGCGGACGGGUGAGUAACACGUGGUUAACCUAACUCUACGACUGGGAUAAUUUCGGGAAACCGGAGCUAAUACCGGAUAAUAUUUUGAACCGCAUGGUUCCAACGUUAAAGACGGUCUUUCUGUCACUUAUAGAUGGCUCCGCGCUGCAUUAGCUAGUUGGUAAGGUAACGGCUUACCAAGGCAACGAUGGAUAGCCGACCUGAGAGGGAGGACGGCCACACUGGAACUGAGACACGGUCCAGACUCCUACGGGAAGCAGCAGUAGGGAAUCUUCCGCGAGGGGGGAAAGCCUGACGGAGCAACGCCGCGUGAGUGAUGAAGGUCUUCGGAUCGUAAAACUCUGUUAUUAGGGAAGAACAUAUGUGUAAGUAACUGUGCACAUCUUGACGGUACCUAAUCAGAAAGCCACGGCUAACUACGUG